AUUUUGGAAAGAAAUCAGAGGAUUUCUUUCCAUUUCAUGUUCUAGUGACUCGCGAAGAUUUCGGUGGAUGGGCUUGCUGUCAUGGAUUCAAAUCUCGGCAGAUACCCAUUUGUGCAUUGAUGACCACGAGAUAGCCUCUUUUGCGGGGAUCUCGGUGUCAACGGAGGUACCCAGGUCGGAGGUGAGGCCUGAGAUCAUGGCGCUGAACGGUCGUGAGAGGGACAAGCUACUGGACAACGCAUUGAUGGCGCGCCAGUGUGCAUUGAUGGCUUCAAUUUGGGGAGUUGAACAGGAGCUCCCCGAGGCUUCCAGAAGCUGCUGCGGCGUUGUAGUCUUCAGGAAACCCUAGGGUUUCCUGUUUCCUAAAGUCUCUUGGGCUUUUAGGCCAUUUUGAUUUGGGCUUGGUAUUCUGUUUGGGUUAAGGGUGUAAAUAGGUCUGCUGGGUGUAACGAGUCUAUUUGGGUUUGGGUUUAGGCUAGUUGGGUUUUUUGGGAUGUAAAAAGACUUAGACUGUUAAAUUGUUUAUUUAUUUA